UUUCCGUAGGUGAACCUGCGGAAGGAUCAUUAUUGCAUAACCGAGGUGCGAGGGCUGUCGCUGACCCGAAAGGUCGUGCACGCCCGAGUGCCCUCACACACAUCCAUCUCACCCCUAUGUGCACCACCGCGUGGGUCCCCCUUUGGCUUGUUCGGAGGGGGGCUUACGUUUUCACACAAACUUUGUAUGCAGUGUAGAAUGUAUUUUUUGUUUUUGCGAUCACGCAAUCAAUACAACUUUCAACAACGGAUCUCUUGGCUCUCGCAUGAUGAAGAACGCAGC
rnacentral:misc_RNA from 1 species